rnacentral:rRNA from 1 species
AUUGAACGCUGGCGGCAGGCCUAACACAUGCAAGUCGAACGGUAGCACAGAGAGCUUGCUCUUGGGUGACGAGUGGCGGACGGGUGAGUAAUGUCUGGGAAACUGCCCGAUGGAGGGGGAUAACUACUGGAAACGGUAGCUAAUACCGCAUAACGUCUUCGGACCAAAGUGGGGGACCUUCGGGCCUCACACCAUCGGAUGUGCCCAGAUGGGAUUAGCUAGUAGGUGGGGUAAUGGCUCACCUAGGCGACGAUCCCUAGCUGGUCUGAGAGGCUGACCAGACAAACUGGAACUGAGACACGGUCCAGACUCCUACGGGAGGCAGCAGUGGGGAAUAUUGCACAAUGGGCGCAAGCCUGAUGCAGCCAUGCCGCGUGUAUGAAGAAGGCCUUCGGGUUGUAAAGUACUUUCAGCGGGGAGGAAGGCGAUGGAGUUAAUAGCUUCAUCGAUUGACGUUACCCGCAGAAGAAGCACCGGCUAACUCCGUGCCAGCCGCCGCGGUAA